rnacentral:rRNA from 1 species
UACGGAGGAUGCAAGCGUUAUCCGGAAUUAUUGGGCGUAAAGCGUCCGCAGGUGGCUGUUCAAGUCUGCUGUCAAAGCGCAGAGCUUAACUCUGUACAGGCGGUGGAAACUGAAGAGCUAGAGUAUGGUAGGGGUAGAGGGAAUUCCCGGUGUAGCGGUGAAAUACGUAGAUAUCGGGAAGAACACCAGUGGCGAAAGCGCUCUACUGGGCCAUAACUGACACUGAGGGACGAAAGCUAGGGGAGCGAAAGGG